AGUGUUAACGAUACACCACUUCGUACCUUUGCUCUCCUACUAAAGUUCCAGAAAGGCCCCCAAGAUGUCCCUGGCGACGAGUCUCCGGCUUCUGCGGCGCGUGGCGGUGCCUGCCCUGCAGCCUUCCCGCGGCCUCCACGUCAGAGGUAAGGCGACGAUGGUGUCGGCCGCCAUGCGAGCCGACCUGGCCAGCCCCCCCGCCAUCCAGUCCGCCCUCCCCGCGCAGCACCUUACCGCCAAGGUCAUGUUCGACGACCACACCUACGCCGACUUCAAGUACAUUUGGCUGCGGGACAACUGCCAGUGCCCGAAAUGCAUCGACGCGAGCACCAAGCAGAAGCUGGUGGACACGCCCAACCUCGACGUCAACCUGAAGCCUCUUUCGCUCACCAUCAACGGGGAGGGGAAGCUGGAGAUCUCGUGGGCGGAGGCCGACGGGAGCGAGCACAUCUCCGUCUACGACCCUGCAUGGCUCUUCAAGUACGGCCAGUCCUUCAUGCACAACAACUUCGCGAGUGACACCGUCGACAUGGACCUUCUGCCGCAGCGCCCAGAGAUGGAACUGUGGGACCGAACCUCCAUCUGGGCCUCCUUCCCCGAACUCUCCUACAACGAGUUCAUGGAGACAGAAUCCGGCCUCGGAGUGUGGCUGGACAUGUUCUACAGGUAUGGCGUGGCUGUGCUCCGUGGUGUGCCCACAGAGCUCAACAAGAUUGUGGAUGUGGUGAAGCGGUUCGCAUAUGUGAAGGAGACACAGUAUGGCACCACCUUUGAUGUGAUCAACAAGCCAGUGGAGGGAGCACAUUUGGCCUAUACUGGUGUAGCACUGUCACAUCACACUGACAUGAACUACAGGGAAAAGUCCCCUGGAAUGCAGCUGCUUCAUUGCCUCAAGGCUAAUGACCCCAAGUUGACAGGUGAAGACCCUGGUGGCCGCUCCUUCUUUGCUGACGGCUUCCGGAUUGCCAGGUGGCUCGAAGAAAAUGAACCAGCUGCCUAUCAUAUCCUCACCUCCACUCCAGUCAGGUUUUCCAUUAAGAAUGAGGGCAAGCAGUACUCUGCCCUCUGGCCUAUUCUGUGCACCAACACUGACGGUGAUGUCACAGAGGUCCACUACAACAAUCGCACCAUGAAGCCCCUGCAGGCUCCCACCCAUGUGGUCACUCCCUUCUACCAGGCUUACAGGCUGUUCUCGGAGCGCCUGCGUGACCCUGCCAUGGGCUUGGAGUUCAACAUGGUACCAGGUGACCUUGUGGCGUUCAACAACCGCAGAGUUCUCCAUGGCCGAACUGCCUUUGAUGCCUCUAAAGUUGACAGACAUCUUCAGGGAUGUUAUGUGGACAUUGAUGAGGCCUUUGCGAAAUAUGAUAGCCUUCGCUCAAAGAAAUGAGCACCUCUUCCUGGGUCCUCUAACUACAGGAUGCACCUUAGUCAGAAGCCGACACUCUCAGUCACCUCACUUUCACCUCAUGUAGUGGCUCUCAAAAGUGGAAUCUUAAUUUGGCUUGGGACUCAUUGUCAAUUCUUCCCUUUUUUAACAUUCUUUAAGAGUCAAAUUUUAAAGAAUUUAUUAUUUUUUCAAAAGGAGACCAGUUUUGAGUUCACACUAAUUAUCUUUCUGAGCUCAUGCUUUAUCAGUAUCAGAACACAUGUCCUGUUUCUCUAUCAGGGUGUGUGUCCCAUUUGUGUUAUAAAAACAAAACAGAAAAACACAGAUGUAAAAAAAGAAGAAAAAAAAAAUACUGACAGAGUAGUAAGCUCAGAACAUCCCCAUAUUUCUUUCUUUUUGUAUUCUGGGAAAAGUGGUUCAUUUGCUUCUCAGAUCACUGACUGUGCAUGACAAUUGACACUAUGCUGAAAACAAGCUUCACUAGUACAAAUUUAUAUUUCGUUAAAGUGGAAUACAUUGCCAAAAUAUGUAGAAUGAUAAAAAUUGUAAUGGGGGAAAGAUAACUCAAAGAAGCAAAAGAACUUUUUACCAGUUAUAUUUUCAGCUUUGCAGCAACACAAACUAUCCAGGUUCCACCAGAACUGAGUGCACAGUCAAGAAGAAGAACGAGGGGGAGGGGAAGGAGAAGCAGUGAGGAGGGGUUAGGGGGAGAAGAAUAAGCAGUGAGAAGGGAAGAGGAGGAGCAGUGAGAAGGGAAGAGGAGGAGCAGUAAGAAGGGAGAAGGAGGAGCAGUGAAGAGGAAGGAGAAGUGAAGAGGAAGGAUAAAAAGGAUAAACGGUGUAAAGAAGGAACAGCGAGGAGGGAGGAAGAGGAAGAGAAGCAAUGAUAAAACUGUUGUAAUAUGUCUUUCAUCGCUCCUUUUUGCGUGCAAUAUAAGGAACAAUAGGAUGUUUGCGACUUAGUUUUAGUCUUAUGAUAUCUGUAUUGCAAAUCAUGUAUUAGCUGUGCAUAUGCAGCCUGAGGUGGAUUGUUCAAGGGAAAUGAUUUUGAGCAAGGCUUUUUACUUUAUAAAAUUAUUUUGUAUCUUAAGUUCAUCCAUUCCAUGGUUUAUCAAAUAUCAGCCAUUCCAUUGAUUCAUAUAACCAUUUUUUUAACAUUUUCAAAGUGACUUUCAUUCCUAAAACAAGGCAAAAAUUGGCAAUAAUUCAUAUAUAACUGCAGAUAUUAGCAAAAGCUCCCAAAUGUAUAUUUAUUUGUAGGUGAAAUUUCUGAUUUAGAUCUGUAUCAGGUAAAAUAGGUGUACAUGUAUAUGAAUCUAUUUUAUAAGAUUUUUAUAUAUAUAUAUAAAACAAAUUUAUAUGAAAGGCUUUGCAGAAUAUCAAGCCACUGUACAAAAGUAUGAGCUGUGUCACUUACUUGUAAUACGGUUUAAUUUUGUAUUGGAUAUGAAAUAUUUUGCAUAAAUACUGAUUUACACAGUAAUUUACAAUAUGACAAAUA
rnacentral:misc_RNA from 1 species